GUCCUGGGAUAGCUCAGUUGGUAGAGCACAAGACUCUUUAGUCUUAGGGUCAUGGGUUUGAGCCCCACAUUGGGCA